GGUUUGUCCAGCAUCCUGUGGGGCAAAGUUUAUACAAAUUUGCCCCGGGGUAAAGGGUUGUUUCCUGGUACAUGAGGACGGAUUGGCGCUGUCGCGCUUUCAAUUUAUUCGGGUCUUUCGCAUGGGUCUAAUAAAGUUGGGCCUGCAACCCAGUCAAUUCGGGACGCACUCAUUCCGCAUAGGGGUGGCAACGGAGGCGGCGCGCUUGGGAUUGGGG